rnacentral:rRNA from 1 species
GACGAACCGUGCGAACGUUGUUCGGAAUCACUGGGCUUAAAGGGCUCGUAGGCGGCCAACUAAGUCGGACGUGAAAUCCCUCAGCUUAACUGGGGAACUGCGUCCGAUACUGGAUGGCUUGGAUUUGGGAGAGGGAUGCGGAAUUCCAGGUGUAGCGGUGAAAUGCGUAGAUAUCUGGAGGAACACCGGUGGCGAAGGCGGCAUCCUGGACCAAUAUUGACGCUGAGGAGCGAAAGCCAGGGGAGCAAACGGG